rnacentral:rRNA from 1 species
AGAACGAACGCUGGCGGCAUGCCUAACACAUGCAAGUCGAACGAACUCUUCGGAGUUAGUGGCGCACGGGUGCGUAACGCGUGGGAAUCUGCCCUUGGGUACGGAAUAACUCAGAGAAAUUUGUGCUAAUACCGCAUAACAUCCUGCCUUUGAAGAGGUGGAGAUCAAAAGCUGGGGAUCGCAAGACCCGGCACUUGAAGAGGGGCCCGCGUCUGAUUAGCUAGUUGGUGGGGUAACGCCUACCAAGGCAACGAUCAGUA